rnacentral:tRNA from 5 species
CGAGGCGUAGCGCAGGCUGGUAGCGCACUUGGUUUGGGACCAAGGGGUCGCAGGUUCGAAUCCUGUCGCCUCGACCA